UGGGGAGUCGUCAAGCGGUAAGACACAGCACUUUGACUGCUGCACCCGUGGGUUCGAAUCCCGCCUCCCCAGCCA
rnacentral:tRNA from 1 species